UCCUCCCUCAAAACCCCCGUGUUUUGGUGUUGGACCAGGUCGUUUGGUGACGAACGACCGGUCUCAAAGACAAUGACGGCGUCCGUGGGGACCCUCUUCGCAACGAGCUCUUCUCCGGAAAGCACGCGUCGAGUACGUAAAGGACCCCGGCGGGCCGGUCUAUAACCCUUUUAUUUUUCUAA
rnacentral:misc_RNA from 1 species